rnacentral:rRNA from 1 species
AGCAGCAGCCACGGGAAUACCGAGGGUGCAAGCGUUAAUCGGAAUUACUGGGCGUAAAGCGCGCGUAGGUGGUUUGUUAAGUUGGAUGUGAAAGCCCCGGGCUCAACCUGGGAACUGCAUCCAAAACUGGCAAGCUAGAGUACGGUAGAGGGUGGUGGAAUUUCCUGUGUAGCGGUGAAAUGCGUAGAUAUAGGAAGGAACACCAGUGGCGAAGGCGACCACCUGGACUGAUACUGACACUGAGGUGCGAAAGCGUGGGGAGCAAACAGGAUUAGAUACCCGAGUAGUCCCUGUCUCUUAUAC